GUGUCCGCUUUGGCAACACAUAUACUAAAAUUGGAACAAUAUAGAGAGGAUUAGCAUGGCCCCUGUGCAAGGAUGACACACAAAUUCAUGAAGCAUUCCAUAUAAAA